rnacentral:rRNA from 1 species
AUGGAGCCCGGCUGUAACACCCUGCAUGUAACUUGCCAUAUUUGUAACUCCGACUCUUGCCAUUUCCGGCUAUGUGUUAUGUUUUUCCCUCCGUUGUCGGGUUUUGUCUUUCGUUUUGUAUUUUGUCAUGUCAUGCAUUUUUAUAUCAUGUCAUCAUGUGCAUUGCAUUCGCAUACGUGUUCGUCUCAUGCAUCCGAGCAUUUUCCCCGUUGUCCGUUUUCCAAUCCGGCGCUCCUAUCUCCCCCGGUGCACCCCUCUAGUUUUCUUUCGUGUGCGUGUGUCAAACUUUCUCGGAAUGGACCGAGGCUUGUCAACUGGUCUUAA